rnacentral:rRNA from 1 species
UACGGAAGGCCGCAGUGGGGAAUAUUGCACAAUGGGCGAAAGCCUGAUGCAGCUAUGCCGCGUGUAUGAAGAAGGCCUUAGGGUUGUAAAGUACUUUCAUCGGGGAGGAAAAAACAAAACUAAUAAUUUUAUUUCUUGACGUUACCCGAAAAAGAAGCACCGGCUAACUCCGUGCCAGCAGCCGCGGUAAUACGGAGGGUGCUAGCGUUAAUCAGAAUUACUGGGCGUAAAGAGCACGUAGGUGGUUUUUUAAAGUCAGAUGUGAAAUCCCUGGGCUUUAACCUAGGAACUGCAUUUUGAAACUGAAAUACUAGAGUAUCGUAGAGGGAGGUAGAAUUCUAGGUGUAGCGGUGAAAUGCGUAGAUAUCUGGAGGAAUACCUGUGGCGAAAGCGGCCUCCUAAACGAAUACUGACACUGAGGGUGCGAAAGCGUGGGGAGCAAACAGGGAUUAGAUACC